rnacentral:rRNA from 1 species
GAGUUUGAUCGUGGCUCAGAACGAACGCUGGCGGCAGGCUUAACACAUGCAAGUCGAACGGCUGUAGCAAUACAGCAGUGGCAGACGGGUGAGUAACACGUGGGAACCUUCCUAGGGGUACGGAACAACUCAGGGAAACUUGAGCUAAUACCGUAUACGUCCGUGAGGAGAAAGAUUUAUCGCCCUUAGACGGGCCCGCGUCGGAUUAGGUAGUUGGUGGGGUAACGGCCUACCAAGCCUACGAUCCGUAGCUGAUCUGAGAGGAUGAUCAGCCACACUGGGACUGAGACACGGCCUAGACUCCUACGGGAGGCAGCAGUGGGGAAUCUUGGACAAUGGGCGCAAGCCUGAUCCAGCCAUGCCGCGUGAGUGAAGAAGGCCUUAGGGUUGUAAAGCUCUUUUGCCAGGGACGAUAAUGACGGUACCU